GGAUUCCCCUAGUAGCGGCGAGCGAAGCGGGAAGAGCUCAAAUUUAUAAUCUGGCACCUUCGGUGUCCGAGUUGUAAUCUCUAGAAAUGUUUUCCGCGCUGGACCGCACACAAGUCUGUUGGAAUACAGCGGCAUAGUGGUGAGACCCCCGUAUAUGGUGCGGAUGCCCAGCGCUUUGUGAUACUUUUUCGAAGAGUCGAGUUGUUUGGGAAUGCAGCUCAAAUUGGGUGGUAAAUUCCAUCUAAAGCUAAAUAUUGGCGAGAGACCGAUAGCGAACAAGUACCGUGAGGGAAAGAUGAAAAGCACUUUGGAAAGAGAGUUAACAGUACGUGAAAUUGUUGGAAGGGAAACGCUUGAAGUCAGACUUGCUUGCCGAGCAAUCGGUUUGCAGGCCAGCAUCAGUUUUCCGGGAUGGAUAAUGGUAGAGAGAAGGUAGCAGUUUCGGCUGUGUUAUAGCUCUCUACUGGAUACAUCUUGGGGGACUGAGGAACGCAGUGGCCUUUGGCGGGGGUUUCGACCUCUUCACACUUAGGAUGCUGGUGGAAUGGCUUUAAACGAC
rnacentral:rRNA from 1 species